AGUGAACGCUGGCGGUAGGCCUAACACAUGCAAGUCGAACGGCAGCACAGGAGAGCUUGCUCUCUGGGUGGCGAGUGGCGGACGGGUGAGGAAUACAUCGGAAUCUACCUUUUCGUGGGGGAUAACGUAGGGAAACUUACGCUAAUACCGCAUACGACCUACGGGUGAAAGCAGGGGAUCUUCGGACCUUGCGCGAUUGAAUGAGCCGAUGUCGGAUUAGCUAGUUGGCGGGGUAAAGGCCCACCAAGGCGACGAUCCGUAGCUGGUCUGAGGGGAUGAUCAGCCAAACUGGAACUGAGACACGGUCCAGACUCCUACGGGAGUCAGCAGUGGGGAAUAUUGGACAAUGGGCGCAAGACUGAUCCAGCCAUACCGCGUGGGUGAAGAAGGCCUUCGGGUUGUAAAGCCCUUUUGUUGGGAAAGAAAUCCAGCUGGUUAAUACCCGGUUGGGAUGACGGUACCCAAAGAAUAAGCACCGGCUAACUUCGUGCCAGCAGCCGCCGUAA
rnacentral:rRNA from 1 species